UACGGGGGGGGCAAGCGUUGUUCGGAAUUACUGGGCGUAAAGGGCUCGUAGGUGGCCAACUCAGUCGGAUGUGAAAUCCCCAGGCUCAACUUGGGAACUGCAUCCGAUACUGGAUGGCUUGAAUCCGGGAGAGGGAUGCAGAAUUCCAGGUGUAGCGGUGAAAUGCGUAGAUAUCUGGAGGAAUACCGGUGGCGAAGGCGGCAUCCUGGACCGGAAUUGACACUGAGGAGCGAAAGCCAGGGGAGCAAACGGG
rnacentral:rRNA from 1 species